AAGCUUGUAGAAAAUACAAAGGUAGGCUAUAGAAAAUAGACAUAAAGAUUACAAAUAACGAUUAAAUAAAAAUGUAUUAAAAUAAAAGAGAACAGCUCCAAAUGAAAGGUGGAUGAGUUAAUAAUAUGAUUUUGAGUCAAUAAUAUGCUCAAAUUUGAAAGGGAUACAGAUGAGUGCUUUGUAGAAGUAACACUUGUGAAAAUGCGGCAAGCAUAUUUAAAAACUAGAUCGCUCUUCUCAACAGCUAAUGGCAGUCUACUGUAGUGUCCUGCUGUCCUGCACUAGAGGUCAGUGAGCACUAGAUUGAGUAGCAGCGCUGGUGCUCACAGCUCUCGCCGGGUGCAGUGGCGCGCGCCUGUAAUCCAAGCUGCUGGGAGGCUGAGGCUGGCGGAUCACUUGAGUUCAGGGGUUCUGGGCUGCAGUGGACUAUGUUGAUCGGGUGUCCGCGCUAAGUUCGGUAUCGAUAUGGUGCUCCUGGGGGAGCUCGGGACCGCCAGGUCGUCUAAGGAGGGGUGAACCGGCCCAGGUCGGAGACGGAGCAGGUCAAAGCCCCCGUGCCGAUCAGUAGCGGGAUCGCGCCUGUGAAUAGACACUGCAGUGUCUAUUCACAGGCGCGACCCCACUACUGAUCGGCACGGGGGCUUUGACCUGCUCCGUCUCCGACCUGGGCCGGUUCACCCCUCCUUAGACGACCUGGUGGUCCCGAGCUCCCCCAGGAGCACCAUAUCGAUACCGAACUUAGCGCGGACACCCGAUCGACAUAGUCCACUGCAGCCCAGAACCCCUGAACUCAAGCGAUCCGCCAGCCUCAGCCUCCCAGCAGCUUGGAUUACAGGCGCGCGCCACUGCACCCGGCGAGAGCUGCGAGCACCAGCGCUGCUCCUCAAUCUAGUGCUCACUGCGCCCUCUAGUGCAGCACAGCAGAAAAAGUAUCUCUGUCUCUCUCAAAUAUAAAUGUAGAAUCGAGAAGCUUUAUUAGUAAGGAAACUUUAAAAAAUAGUUGUUUUACUCCUCAGAAUACAAUACAAAUACAAAAUUUAGUUUAGAGAUUUAAUGCACCCUUUAUAACAAAAUUGCGGUAGGUCUUCUAUUGUGUCUGGAAAGGGGAGAGAUCCUGAAACUACUCAGAGAAACUGUCAGGCUGUUUCCCUGGACUCACCUGCUUCAUGGCUGAAGAAUGAGACUUUGGACUUUGGGUCAGUCUUAUUCUAUUGUGGUUUGAUUUUCAGUUUUCUGAAUGAUGAGACAGUUGGGGUAACAAGAAAAUAUCUGCAUAAAGAUAUUGAGUCAAUUUUAAUGUUUGAAGACAAAAUGGGUGCAUUUCUUGAAACUUUAUACAGGUUCCACCUGUUUUAAUAUUUAAAAUAUACUGUAUAGUAAUGUUACACUUUUU
ensembl:lncRNA